rnacentral:misc_RNA from 1 species
UUAAGUUCAGCGGGUAUUCCUACCUGAUUCGAGGUCAACAUUUCGGUAAGUUGGGGGUUUUACGGCAGGGCACCGCCGAGAUUCCAGUGCGAGGAGAAAACUACUACGCAGAGGAGGCUACAGCGGGACCGCCACUAGAUUUAGGGGACGGCGACGCCCGAGGGCGCUACGCCGAUCCCCAACACCAAGCAGAGCUUGAG